rnacentral:lncRNA from 1 species
CAAAUUAUCGAUCACAGAUUAACAAUUUUGAUGUCACACAUUAUUUUUCGAUCAUAAUUUAUUUUUUUCAUUGGUCACAUAUUAUUUAUUGGCAACAGAUUAACCAAUUUAAUGGUCACAGACAACCAAAUAAUUUGUGACCACUACAAAUACUUAUGAUUCACAGUCACAAUUUUCAGGUUACGUAUCUAAUUGUGAGUCACAAAUCAACCAAACCGUCACAACUACCGCCAUGACUACCACAACCACUGUCACGACCAACUGUGACUCCCAAAUUGUGUGUUACAAUUAGGAGUCACGAUCACAAUUUUAGGUUACGAGACUAAUUAUUUGUCACAAAAUCAACCAAAUCGCCACGACCACCACAACCACCAUAAAAAACCAUUGCAAAAUAAUACAAAAUCGUCGCCAGUUUACAAUUGCAGUAACCACUAUCACCAUCAACCCCAAACGUCACCAAAAACCCCAACGCCACCACCAUCAACAUCACAGUCAACAGCACUACCUUCUAUACCAAAAAUCACAACCACUAUCUCAAAUUACACUACAAUCACCACAUUCAACAAAAAAUGCCCAAAUCACCACUCCAACAACGACGUCGUCGCCUCACCUCUCCACAUAGUUGCAGUGGACCUCAGUUGAACCGGUAGAUCUAUUGCAACCAAUUGAGCCACCGACGAUGAUGGGCGCUUGUGGUGACUACCGCGCAGCUCCAUCACCGGUUGUCGAAUCUGAAUUGAUGAGAGGAGAGAGGAGAGAGGAGCGAGCAGCACACCAGUUGAGCUACCGACCGUUUGUCCGACGAUGACAAGUGCUUGCGGUGACGACCGACCGGAGCAGCUUCGUCGUCGAUUGUCGAAUCUGAAAUGAUGAAACGAGAGAGGAAGAGAGAGGGGCGAGCCGGUGGAGAGAGAGGAAAAUGAAAAUAAAUUAGGAUUGUAUAAAAUUUGUAUUAUAA